GACGAACGCUGGCGGCGCGCCUAACACAUGCAAGUCGAACGAGAGAUGAAGAGCUUGCUCUUCAGAUCGAGUGGCGAACGGGUGAGUAACGCGUGAGGAACCUGCCUCAAAGAGGGGGACAACAGCUGGAAACGACUGCUAAUACCGCAUAAGCCCACGGCUCGGCAUCGAGCAGAGGGAAAAGGAGCAAUCCGCUUUGAGAUGGCCUCGCGUCCGAUUAGCUAGUUGGUGAGGUAACGGCCCACCAAGGCGACGAUCGGUAGCCGGACUGAGAGGUUGAACGGCCACAUUGGGACUGAGACACGGCCCAGACUCCUACGGGAGGCAGCAGUGGGGAAUAUUGCACAAUGGGGGAAACCCUGAUGCAGCGACGCCGCGUGGAGGAAGAAGGUCUUCGGAUUGUAAACUCCUGUUGUUGAGGAAGAUAAUGACGGUACUCAACAAGGAAGUGACGGCUAACUACGUGCCAGCAGCCGCGGUAA
rnacentral:rRNA from 1 species